GAUGAACGCUGGCGGCGUGCCUAAUACAUGCAAGUCGAGCGAACAGACGAGGAGCUUGCUCCUCUGACGUUAGCGGCGGACGGGUGAGUAACACGUGGAUAACCUACCUAUAAGACUGGGAUAACUUCGGGAAACCGGAGCUAAUACCGGAUAAUAUAUUGAACCGCAUGGUUCAAUAGUGAAAGACGGUUUUGCUGUCACUUAUAGAUGGAUCCGCGCCGCAUUAGCUAGUUGGUAAGGUAACGGCUUACCAAGGCAACGAUGCGUAGCCGACCUGAGAGGUGGUCCGGCCCACUGGGACCGGGGACACGGUCCAGACUCCUAGGGGAGGCAGCAGGAGGGAAUCUUCGGCAAUGGGCGAAAGCCUGACGGAGCAACGCCGGGGGGGUGAUAAAGGGUUUCGGUUGGUAAAACUUUUUUAUUAGGGAAAAAAAAAUUUGUAAGUAACUAUGCCCGUCUUGACGGUACCUAAACAGAAAGCCACGGCAAACUACGG
rnacentral:rRNA from 1 species